rnacentral:tRNA from 1 species
ACCUGACUAACUCAAUUGGAAGAGCGUGCGACUCUUGAUCUCGGGGUCGUGAGUUCAAGCCCCACGUUGGGUG